AUUAACAUGAGAUAAUCCUCAAUUUCCUAGGAAUUUCAGACUUGUUGGAAAGAUAUAAUUUGCUUUGUAUUAAGGAUUUCUAAUUUAGCCCUUAAAGUUAUUCAUGGGAAUUGAUACAAUUUUGUCUGAUUCUUCCAUACGUUGAAGAUUUCCAACCUAACCCUUAGUGUUCAUUGAUGGUUGUUUUAGAAUUUGAGGAUUAGCGG
rnacentral:misc_RNA from 1 species